rnacentral:rRNA from 1 species
GUGUCAGCAGCCGCGGUAAUACGUAGGGAGCGAGCGUUGUCCGGAUUUAUUGGGCGUAAAGGGCGUGUAGGCGGCUUGUUAAGUCUGGAGUGAAAAUCCGGGGCUCAACCCCGGAACUGCUUCGGAUACUGAUGAGCUUGAGUACUCUAGAGGGCAGUGGAAUUCCCGGUGUAGCAGUGAAAUGCGUAGAGAUCGGGAGGAACACCAGUGGCGAAGGCGACUGCCUGGGGAGAAACUGACGCUGAGGCGCGAAAGCUGGGGGAGCAAACGGGAUUAGAUACCCCGGUAGUCCCAGCCGUAAACGAUGAGUGCUAGGUGUAGCGGGUAUCGACCCCCGCUGUGCCGCAGUUAACGCAAUAAGCACUCCGCCUGGGGAGUACGGCCGCAAGGUUGAA